CUACAACACUAUAGAUACACCAACACAAUAACCCCACAACUAAACUAAGAGAUUCUGAUGGCCAAAGAGGCAAAUAAGGGAUCUACCAAUUCCACAAAGGACAGAAAGGAGAAAUGAAACAAUAGAAGAAUGAAGAAUUCUGGCAGGUUCUUUCUAGCAAGCAGAGAGGCAACUGGAGAAGGAGGCUCUUCUUAAAAUUCACAACUAUGUUGUCCAGAAAUCGAUGUCAGUAAAUAGUAGGCACUAACAACGGUCAGAUGCAUUUUGGGAUGAAAUGUGGCUAAGGUACCAACGGCCCACAUAGGAAGAAAAUGCACACUCCAACUUGAGGCUUCAUGUGUACUGAACUGUGUAAGCAUCAGAAAAAAGACCACAGGAAACACAAGAUUUUACUUUGACCCAGGAAAGAUUCCCUAGGAUGAAUAUUUGUGAACCUGGAAAAGGGUGAAGAAAGAAUAUAUACUAACACCUCCAUGUGAUGUUUUUCCUACAUCCAGCUUUUUAACUGACACACACAAAAUAAAAUUUCUGUC